GUGGGGAAUAUUGGACAAUGGGGGCAACCCUGAUCCAGCAAUGCCGCGUGGGUGAAGAAGGCCUGCGGGUUGUAAAGCCCUUUCGAUGGGAAAGAAAAGCUCAGCGCUAACACCGCUGAGUAUUGACGUUACCCAGAGAAGAAGCACCGGCAAACUCUGUGCCAGCAGCCGCGGUAAUACAGAGGGUGCAAGCGUUAAUCGGAUUUACUGGGCGUAAAGCGCACGUAGGCGGUUCGUUAAGUCGGGUGUGAAAUCCCUGGGCUCAACCUAGGAAUUGCAUUCGAUACUGGCGGACUAGAGUGUGGUAGAGGAUAGUGGAAUUCCAGGUGUAGCGGUGAAAUGCGUAGAUAUCUGGAGGAACAUCAGUGGCGAAGGCGGCUAUCUGGACCAACACUGACGCUGAGGUGCGAAAGCGUGGGGAGCAAACAGGAUUAGAUACCCGGGUAGUCC
rnacentral:rRNA from 1 species